rnacentral:rRNA from 1 species
UGGGGAAUUUUGGACAAUGGGGACCCGUACAAGCCGGACUUUUGUACCAGCAAUGCCGCGUGUGUGAAGAAGGCCUUCGGGUUGUAAAGCACUUUUGUCCGGAAAGAAAUGGCUCUGGUUAAUACCUGGGGUCGAUGACGGUACCGGAAGAAUAAGGACCGGCUAACUACGUG